rnacentral:tRNA from 1 species
UCCCUGGUGGUCCAGUGGCUGACUUCAUGCUCCCAAUGUAGGGGACCCAGGUUCGAUCCCUGGUCAGGGAA